CAGUAACUUGAACAAUCGUCAAGGACUUGAGUCGUAUGAUUGCUUGCGCUUUGAUGUUGCUCCUGCCUCCUUGAGAUGUAUCUUUGUCAUGAAACUCCCAACUGUUCUCAUCAUUUGGAUUGUUUCAUUCUGCAGAAAAUGGUGGCAAUAGUUUAAUCACAUACUUUGUAUAUCAAGCUGGAUGAGGGCUAGGAGCACUCGCUCUAUGUAAUAGAUGCUUUUACCACAUGCAGAAGCAUCACAGAAGAGGGUUCUGAAUUUCCAAAGGUUCUGUUUUUUCAAGGACUGUUGCUUUAACAGCUUCUGUUGCUGAUUGUUAGUGUUAAAGCUUGGAUCUAUUUGUUUGCUUCUGUGUGGAACAUUUGUUUCUGUAAGGCAGAUUAUGCUGUAUAAUUGACUGGAAGGAUUGUUGCAUCUCCCUUGCAGAUGUUCAUUUGUCAGCAAAUUGUCAUAUGG
rnacentral:misc_RNA from 1 species